UCUGAAGAGCAGCUGGAGCCUGUAAUCGCUGCCGAGGCAGAAACGGCUCACACCCACUGCGCGUGGUGCAAGGAGGGACAGAAGCCCCUCGCAGGCGAGUCUCGCGGCUGGGCCCACACACGAGGAUCGGGGCCCUGCUACUCCCCACCCCCAUGCCGGUGUUUUGACAUGACCGUCGGCGGAGGCUGAAUAAAGAGACGUCAUUUGGCAGCAGCCCGGCGUGCGCCUGAAGAGAGGAUCGGGGAGGAGCGGACCGAGGAGGGGGGCGGCAGCCGAGUUGGCAGGGUGGGGGCCAGGAUUACAGCAGCUUCCAGUGGACGAGGGCAGAGAGUGGGAGCAAUCCUGCCGCUACCGGCCUGAGGAGGAGCCCCCAGCAGAGGAGAUUUGCAUGCUGCUGCCGGCUGAUGCCGAGGCGAUUGCAGAAGGGUCCUAUGCAACCCAAACCCCUCCCCACCAAAUCAAGGGCAGAGCGGGCCAAAGGGCUGGCUUGAGAGAGCCAGGAAGGCCACCCCGCGGCCUGGAGAGUUUGCAAAGAAAGGAGCGACGCUCCCCAGCUGGAGGACAGCGUCUCCGGGAGCUCCGCCUGCGCUAAGGGGCGCAAGGAGAAAGAAACACAGCCGCCUUCGCGCCCCACCGUGCGGGGCUGCGAGGCGCAGGGCGGGAGAUGAAGGCUGCCCCGGGGAGCCGCCGCGCCGCGGAAACAGAACCAGCAGCUGGAUUUUGCGCAGGGGCCGGAUGGUUUCCCUGUAACAGAUGGACGGUCUCGCACCCAGGUUGCAAGGGGAGGCGAACGUGCAUGAUGGAUGGCGCGGGCCCGCCCUCGGGGGUGGCCGGAGAGCUCUGUUGCAGGGGCUGGAAGAUCUUGGACAGCCGGGCUAAUUGCAGCUAGGGGAAAGGAGCCUGUAUGCUCGUGGCUAAUUUCCCAGCUGCCAGCAGGGAACCCAACCAGAAAAACCCUCCGCAAAUGUGCCAGCCAAGGAAUCGGACGCCCAACAAGAUGCUGCUGCUGGAAAAGAUAUUCUACAGCUUGGCUUCUGUGCAGGACAGCUGUCAAACAUGGUCCAUCUGUAGCUACAGCUGUUGAUUCCAUUGCUGAAGGAAAGGAGCAGGCAGAAGACAAAUAGGGGGUUUCCACAGGACUAACCGAGUCAGAAGUACUGUCAAGUCAGCAUUGCAAUUACAGGGUUGUGUCAACUUUUUUUUUUUUAAUUGCACAUUUUAAAAUGUGCUUUGCUCGCUCACUCAGUGGAUGCCCAAAUGUAAUGGGUGAAAUAACAUGAUGGUUCAGGAAUAAUUCCUCUGCACUGACAUUCAGAAUAGAGAAGCAAGAACUCAUAGUUUCUUCUGACAUUUUAAAGAAACCACCAUGACCUUAUUGGUCCCCUUUCAGUAUAUCAGUCACUACAGAUGAGACCUCUAUAGCUCCUGACGUGGCAAAUGUACACAUAUUGAUCAGUUAAAUAGAGCUGUGAAGUUGAAAGGGAAAGAAAAUAGCAUUUUCCAUACACAUUUACCCCUAAAAAUUAAAACAAGGGCAUCAAAUAUUUGAUACAGGAUACAUUUCAGACUGAGCUACAAGUGUGUGGAAUUAAUUCAGCAUUAAGCAGAUACUUUGAUGGUACAGGCUGUAGUUAUUUAAAACUACAGUAAUUAGAUUUUAUAAACCAAUAGUCCUCAUAUCACUUAAGUAUUUAACAAAGUUAUCCCCAAUUCUGUUUUUCAAAGGUUGUUCUAGGCCACUAUUUUGAAUUAAAAUUGGACAUUUUGGAAGAGAAAUUGACCCAUUUCAACACUGCUGUUCUCAAGGUUCUUUGUCCACCUUUCCCAGUUAUUUAUAUAAGUUAGUCUACUAAAGUCACAGGCCCCAAUUGCUGAGUUUAUGAUGUAAGGUUACCUGCAGAGAUUAGUUCCCUUCAGUGACAAAUAUUGUAAAAAACAAUAUUGGUGCCCUAAGAAAACGACAGGGACCAACUAAAUAGUGUCCCAAAUCUUACCAUUUUCAUCACAAGUUUCACUCGUGUUUCAUAAAGCCCCAGCUCCUGAAGUAGGCAAGUACAUGAGAAUCUCAGCUCCCUCUCCCCCUCUGCCCAUUCUCCCCAUAAACUGCCAGCCUUCACUGGUGUGGAGAAAAAUGUAAAUAAAAAAUGCCCCAAAUUUAGUUAUUUUUUAAAAAUCUCAUGAUUUUUAAUACUUGGCAUUGGGGAUACUGAAGAAUAAUACUGUAAACAUCUAUCUCCAAAGGGCUUCACACAUACAGGAAAAUGUGCCAUCACUGUUACAAGCCAUCAGUUUCUACAACCGUAGCACCUCAUUUCCCAUAUGCAUUCAAGGCUUUUGAAACUGGUAUUUAUUAAAUUGAUUUGGGUCCACGCUAGACCUUGACAAUCCAAGCCUGGCUGUAUUUUACAGCUAGGACAAUCUAUAACAGUGGUUCUCAACCAAAAGUGACUGUACCCCUGGUGGUACACAGAGGUCUUCCAAGGGGGACAUCAACUCAUCUAGUUAUUUUUCUAGUUUUACAAUGGCUAUAUAAAAAGCACUAGCAAAGUCAGUACAAAAUUAAAAUUUCAGAGACUUAUUUAUACUUCUCUAUAUAUAAUAUACACUGAAAUGCAAGUACAAUAUUUAUAUUCCAGUUGAUUUCUUUUAUAAUUAUAUGGUAAAAAUGAGGAAGCAAGCACUUUUUCAAUGCUAUGACACCUUUGUAUUUUUAUGUCUGAUUUUGUAAGCAAGUAGUUUAAGUGAGGUGAAACUUGGGGGGUACUCAAGAGAAAUUAGACUUCUGAAAGGGGUACAGUAGUCUGGAAAGAUUAAGAGCCACUGAUCUACAAGACCUUCAGCAGUAUGACUGCAGGUAUGAGAAGAAAUGAAGGAUAAAUCCAUUGUGACACAAAUAUUCCUGUUUGGAUAAAAGAUUAUUGAAGCAUUUAAAUUACAUCAUCAAUUCAUUUAGAAUCAGAAAAUAAAUUAAUCUCAAGUUUCCAGAUGUCUUAUUUCUUAAUUUGUCAACACAUUGGGGGGGGGGGCGGGGGGAGGAUGUCUUCAUUAGCGUUAAACUUGCUACACGGAGCAUUGAGAAAAUGUCAAUAUCACAUCAGAGAAAGAAGUGUGCAUACUACAAGAAUGAUGGAGAAGGGCUUUAGAAUGCAACAGCAGAAAUCUGUGAUUUAAUAGAUAUGAAAUCAGUUUAAAUUUGUAUUAUCUUCAAAAACAAAUAAUGGAAUAUAAAGGAGGCUAAAGACCCCUUACUUUACUAGGUUUUUACCUGGAAAUCAAUUUCUCUUACAUAUAAGAAAUAGUACUUAGCAGUAUGGAUUUUUGAAUCUCAUCCAAAUGCAGAAUGACUGCCGUACACACAAAACAAUUGUUUGUCAAAAAUGUCACAAGGAUUUUUGUUAAACCCACAAA